AGAAAGCCCAUCUUGGGAAGCUCAGGAUUCGCAAAAGGACGUUCGGCGGCACCCCUGGCAAAGCCGCACGGCAGAAUCUGCCGCCCGCCCGUGGGCCGCGCAAAGUGGCCCACGCUUCUGCAGCCGCCUCCCCGCCUCCGGGCGGGCCGUGCCCGUUCCUCAUUAAUCCCCGUGUCUUGCCUGCCACGGGUUUGGCUUCUUGCAGAUUCUGGUGUCCUACAAGCGCAUCCAAGCGCUGCAGAAGCUGCAGCCCUCGCCGCAGGCCAGCCUGCCCCCCGGCUCGCCGCAGAACUCCCUGGCGGAGACCGGCGGGACGCCAAAGAGCUCCUACAGCGACCUGGACCGCAAGAUCCUGCAGUUGUGCGGUGAGCUGUACGACCUGGACGCCGCCUCGCUCCAGCUCAAAGUCAUCAACUACCUGAAACGGGAGACCCGGUCGCUCUGCUGCUGCCUCCUCUUGGUGUCCGAGGACAACCACCAGCUCUUCUGCCAGGUGAGCAAAACGGCGUCCGUGCCGGAUUAUUUUCCCCAU
rnacentral:lncRNA from 1 species